AUUGAACGCUGGCGGCAUGCCUUACACAUGCAAGUCGAACGAUAACAGGUCUUCGGAUGCUGACGAGUGGCGAACGGGUGAGUAAUACAUCGGAACGUGCCUAGUAGUGGGGGAUAACUACUCGAAAGAGUGGCUAAUACCGCAUGAGAUCUACGGAUGAAAGCAGGGGAUCGCAAGACCUUGUGCUACUAGAGCGGCCGAUGGCAGAUUAGGUAGUUGGUGGGAUAAAAGCUUACCAAGCCGACGAUCUGUAGCUGGUCUGAGAGGACGAUCAGCCACACUGGGACUGAGACACGGCCCAGACUCCUACGGGAGGCAGCAGUGGGGAAUUUCGGACAAUGGGCGCAAGCCUGAUCCAGCAAUGCCGCGUGCAGGAUGAAGGCCUUCGGGUUGUAAACUGCUUUUGUACGGAACGAAAAGCCCUGGGUUAAUACCCUGGGGUCAUGACGGUACCGUAAGAAUAAGCACCGGCUAACUACGUGCCAGCCGCCGCCGUAACAC
rnacentral:rRNA from 1 species